UACGUAGGGGGCUAGCGUUGUCCGGAAUCAUUGGGCGUAAAGCGCGUGUAGGCGGUCCGGUAAGUCCGCUGUGAAAACUCGAGGCUCAACCUCGAGCUGUCGGUGGAAACCGCGUGGCUAGAGUCCGGAAGAGGGGACUGGAAUUCCCGGUGUAGCGGUGGAAUGCGCAGAUAUCGGGAGGAACACCCGUGGCGAAGGCGGGUCCCUGGGACGGUACUGACGGCUGAGACGCGAAAGCGUGGGGAGCGAACGAGGAUUAUGAGACCCU
rnacentral:rRNA from 1 species